CAAGACCUUAAAUUGUAAUGACGUUGCUUCAAAUGACAGGUUCUUCAACAGCGUAACACUUGUGGUGAUAGAAACCUGAGCAGCUGAGCAGCUUCACGCUGCCAUGGGAUGCAGGGGGAAUCUCCCUGCGCAGGGAAGCUGAUAGGGGAGAUCUGAGUCACGGUGACGGCCUCAGCCAAGAGGCAGGCGGUGAAGUGGAGCAUGCGAUGAGCUCAGAGGAGGUGAAUUGAUGAUCUGCUAUUUAUAGAUGCACGAAGAGGCUCAGAGACAGGAUCUCCAGGCAGGGCCACUCUUCAGUUUGCUCUGGAAAUGAUUCCCUGUCAGAGCUGCAAGCGAAACGCAGUGUGGAGCUGGCAUGGCCUGGGAGUGCCCUGGUUGUACGAACACGUGGACAUGCCACAGGAGCAGCUUUUGGUGUGAGAGCCUGAAAUACAGCUCGUUUUAGCAAUACAGACACUGCUGAAUUUUAUCUGCAUCUAUUUGGUGAGGUUUG